CUGUCAUAUUGACCAUGUUCACUCAAGCAGAGUGGAAGGUCAUUCCACGGGAGUCUACAAGAUUCUUUCUCCAACUGCCAAUAUAGUGCUAAAACUGGGAAAAGGUAUUUCCAUUGGUAACAGCAAUAACCACUUUCUGAAAUACGUUCUAAUCCAAUAAUGUUGAACAUUUCAUGGCAUAGAUUCUUAAAACACUCUGUAUACUUUCUAAGGAAAACAAUCUUAGAUGUACAGUUUGUUUUUUCUGGCAUGGGAUUUUAUAGCAUAAUGAAUUUAUACAAUAUUCAAAUACUACAAAUUUGCGGCCAUUAACACACCGGAAUUCAAGAUUUAAUACUACAAUGGUUGAAUAUAAAUCGAAGGAUGUAUCCAUAGUGCAAAAACUAUCCAUGACAUAGUUUCGAUCACACUUGCUCUUUGGAGACAUUUAGAGUACUCUCCAAGUCUGUCUUUUGUGACUCCUUAAUUGCAUCACUAUUGUCAAUAUCUACAGAUACAUUGGGUAGUUCUGCAAUGUCUUGGUUAAAAAAUCAAAUAGAUCCAAUGGAUCUUCAUUUGAG